ensembl:lncRNA
ACUUCCGGCCAGGCUCCUCACUUCUGGUCCACUCUCCUGGGGCCUCUCCCUGUGGCAGAGACUCCACCAAGAGCGCCUGGACCAGCCUGGCCUGAUGGUUUCUCCCAACGGGCUGGAAGUUUCCCAAACGUGAGGCCAUCUUCCCUCUUCAUCUCAUAUCCUCCGCCCUUGGAGUUCGAUCAGUGCUCACUGAGCACCUGCCGGUCCGUGGGCCAGGCCUGCUGGAGAGCAGGCAGGGUGCCAGGUGCUCCCGGGCAUCCUGAAUGGCUAACCGAGCCAGUCUGGGCCCCCCUUGUGCCAGUUAUCAAGCUCGGCCUCCUGGGCCCACAGUGCUGGGUGAAGUGCAUGGCCAUCUUCCGUGCAGCUGGUCAAACAUCCCUGUCCACCUCCUCAUCGCCUUCUGGGAUGUGUGUGGACCAGAAUCGCUCCCUCAGGAUGUUCAGACUGACCCGCCCCCAGGAGGGGUGAACUCCGGCCAUUCCUGGGGAGAAGAAUCCCGCCGUGGGCUGCUCUCACCAGGUUCGGCCAGGCCGUCCUGCUCUCCGGGCCCUGCAGAGGCCUCCCCGGCCCCACACAGCCCUCCUG